AACCAAAACUUCUAGUCAGGAUGUUUUCCAUUCCACAAGGGAUACAUGAAUCAACGAAAGUGUCUGUUAAAGUUUUGGGAGAUUAAUACUGCUCGCGUUCUUCUUUAGCAUCCGUUUUGGAUGCACCUUGAGGAACAAGGUGGGUAAUUUUCGUUUUGAAGAUAUGCCACCGACUUAUAGAGCAGAGAGGCACCUAUGAGUUGAGUUCAGGACUACGGUUUUUGACUGCGGAUACUUCCUGGACUCGUAGUAAGGAGCCUCACAACU
rnacentral:ncRNA from 17 species